CCCCGCUGAAGAGCGCAGGCUGACCCACGCCCGGCCUCACCCCGUCCUCGGAGCGGCCGCCUAGAAGCGCGCCCCGUCCCACGCUGCAUCUGGCUCAGGCUCGGUGACAGCUGAAUUCAAUGGCUGCACCCACCGUGCGGUUUCUGGGGAACCGAAGCCUUCAAUCAAUUCGGGGCAGUGCAGACACACGCAACCAGCGUGAGCUCAUCUGAUUAGGAGUCAUCAGCCAUAUGGCGCCUUGCGGCACGUCCACAGGCCCCCUUGACGAUCGUGGGGUUCAGGGGCUCGGUGCCGAGCCAGGCCCUGGUGCCGCUGACCCUUCGAGUCCAUCUCGCUCCCGGGAGGAGCUUGCGCAUAGGAUGACCUGGGGCGGAGUGUAGUUCCAGAAAGUUCCAGCUGGGGCUCCUCUUACCUGACUCCUGGUCUUAAGGUUUUUUUUCAUUUUUCCUUACCACAGAGGCACAAAGUGGGGCCCAGAGGGGUCAGCCAGGACCGAGGGCUGAGCUUCCGGGGGGUGGGGGGGGGUUGAGCUGGUUGACGCGCCUGCCCAGGGGCUCACGACUGUCCCCCAACCCGGAGGCCCGCCCUGAUGCCUGUGGGCCCAGCGACCCAGCCAAGACAAACACGGUGCAUGAGCUCACGGGGCCGGGAGCGCAGCGCGGAUGUGCUAUCUGCAAUGCGGACUUUGGACGGGGGCCUCACCCGGAAAGAAAGAAGCAUGAAAUCUGGAAACAAAAGAAAUGUGCGCUUGAACCAGGAGGCUUUAUCGGAGAGCCGAGCCUCUGGGAUCCAAGCCUGCCUCGCGGCAGAGCCAAGAUGCAAAUGGGCCCGUGGGGGAAAGGAGCAAAGUGGAAGGAUUUCCAGAAAUGGACAGGAAGGUUAAAGUCUGACGUGCGUUAAAAGAAAAGAAAAAAAAGGGAGAGUUUGGAACGCGGGGAGGACGUGCUCGAGGAGAAAGGGUUGGAAAAGCAGGGGGACAGCCUGAUGAAGAGGCGGCAAAGUGCCCGGCCGGCUCGGUGGUUGAGCAUCGACCCAGGAACGAGGAGGUCAGGGUUCGAUUCCCGGUCAGGGCACAU